UUUCGGGCUCAUCGGUAGUGUACCGGGAGUGCCGGGAGGGGUGCCGGGGACCAUCGGGAGGGGUGUCACGCCCCAAGGGGUCUCAUGGGCUAUGGGAAGAGAUAAACCAGCCCCUAGUGGGCUGGAAUACGUUCCCACUAAGGCCCAUAAGGUUUGAGAAGGAAAAAACACAAGGUGGAAAGAGUUUCCAAGUGGGAAGGUGGAAUCCUACUCCAAGUAGGACUGGAGUAGGACUCCUCCACCUCCAAUUUCGGCCAAACCUUUAGGUUUUGAGGCUGCCUCCUCCCCUCCCUCCCACCUAUAUAUACGGAGGUUUUAGGGCUGAUUUGAGACGACUUUUC
rnacentral:lncRNA from 1 species